rnacentral:rRNA from 1 species
CACGUAGGGCGCAAGCGUUGUCCGGAAUUAUUGGGCGUAAAGAGCUUGUAGGCGGUCUGUCGCGUCUGCUGUGAAAAUCCGGGGCUCAACCCCGGACUUGCAGUGGGUACGGGCAGACUAGAGUGUGGUAGGGGAGACUGGAAUUCCUGGUGUAGCGGUGAAAUGCGCAGAUAUCAGGAGGAACACCGAUGGCGAAGGCAGGUCUCUGGGCCACUACUGACGCUGAGAAGCGAAAGCAUGGGGAGCGAACAGG